CCACCCUGUGCAGACCCUACCAUGGACACCAGGCUCCUCUCCUGGGUCGCCCUCUGUCUUCUGGGGACAGAUCACAAUGAAGCUGGUGUCUCCCAGUCCCCCAGUUACAGGGUAACAAAGAAGGGACAGAAUGUAACUUUCAGAAUGAAUUAGCAUCAGACACAUCCAAGAUGCCUCCUGAGCGGUUCUCUGCUGAGAGGCCGGAGGGCACCUUCUCCAAUCUGAAGAUCCAGGAUGUACAGCAAGGGGACUUGGCUGUGUAUCUCUGUGCAAGCAGCCACAGUGGGGCACAGGUUUCAUGCAUGCUGGAAUCAUCCAGACACCCAGAUACUGUAUUAUACGCACAGGAAAAAAGAUGACCCUGGAGUGUUCUCAGAAUAUGAACAAUUAUGCAAUGUUCUGGUAUCGCCAAGAUCCAGGACAGGGGCUGAGGCUGCUCCAUUACUCAGGAAGUACUUUCAGCACUGCCAAGGGAGAUGCUCCAGAAGGGUACAGUGCCACCAGAGACGAGAAUGAGCACUUCUCUCUGACUCUGGAGUCAGCCAGCACCAACCAGACCUCCAUGUACCUCUGUGCCAGCAGUGAAUACACAGCAUGGCACAGCCAGCUGCUCACUGAACAAAAAGGACAGUCACAGUGUGAAGGGGGACACGUUUGCCCAAGCUCUGUCUCAAUGCAGAGGAAAAGCUGCCCUUUCUGAAUCUCUUCCCAGACUUUUCAGCACUGGGGUUUUUACUGGGAUCCUUGCUCAGCAUGAGCCGCAGUAGGAGCUGAGGCCCAUCAGUCUGUGUGCAUGCAAGCAUGUGUGUGUGUGUGUGUGUGUGUGUGUGUGUGUGUGUGUAUGUAAAUUCACAUAACAUAACUGCUAUCCCUCUCAAUUUGGAAUAUUCUAACAAUUGUUUAAAGGAAGACAGUAGCAUUAGACC